AUCUUAUCCAGAGUGGGGGAGGGACAGGCCCGAUGAUCCCACGGCAACCGAUCCCAGGUCACACGGGAGGAUCGGUGCCAACUCCUGCGGGGCUUUCGGGCCUCGGCAGAUGAGAG
rfam:Acidobacteria bacterium 13_1_20CM_2_68_14 13_1_20cm_2_scaffold_1306, whole genome shotgun sequence.